UUAAUGGCGAGGUUCAAACGAAUAAGGGCUUAUGGUGGAUACCUAGGCACCCAGAGACGAGGAAGGGCGUAGCAAGCGACGAAAUGCUUCGGGGAGCUGAAAAUAAGCAUAGAUCCGGAGAUUCCCGAAUAGGUUAACCUUUUGAACUGCUGCUGAAUUCAUAGGCAGGCAAGAGACAACCUGGCGAACUGAAACAUCUUAGUAGCCAGAGGAAAAGAAAGCAAAAGCGAUUCCCAUAGUAGCGGCGAGCGAAAUGGGACUAGCCUAAACCGUGAAAACGGGGUUGUGGGAGAGCAAAAUAAGUGUUGUUUUGCUAGGCGAAGCAGUUGAGUCCUGCACCCUAGAUGGUGAGAGUCCAGUAGCCGAAAGCAUAACAACACUCAUGCUCUAACCCGAGUAGCAUGGGGCACGUGGAAUCCCGUGUGAAUCAGCAAGGACCACCUUGUAAGGCUAAAUACUCCUGGGUGACCGAUAGUGAAGUAGUACCGUGAGGGAAAGGUGAAAAGAACCCCCAUCGGGGAGUGAAAUAGAACAUGAAACCGUAAGCUCCCAAGCAGUGGGAGGAGAAUCGAAUCUCUGACCGCGUGCCUGUUGAAGAAUGAGCCGGCGACUUAUAGGUAGUGGCCUGGUUAAGGGAACCCACCGGAGCCGUAGCGAAAGCGAGUCUUCCUAGGGCAAUUGUCACUACUUAUGGACCCGAACCUGGGUGAUCUAACCAUGACCAGGAUGAAGCUU
rnacentral:rRNA from 2 species